UACGAAGGGUGCAAACGUUGCUCGGAAUUAUUGGGCGUAAAGCGCGCGUAGGCGGCUUGGCAAGUCGAAUGUGAAAGCCCCCGGCUCAACUGGGGAGGGUCAUUCGAUACUGCUCGGCUCGAAGACAGGAGAGGGAAGUGGAAUUCCCGGUGUAGUGGUGAAAUGCGUAGAUAUCGGGAGGAACACCAGUGGCGAAGGCGACUUUCUGGCCUGUUCUUGACGCUGAGGCGCGAAAGCUAGGGGAGCAAACGGG
rnacentral:rRNA from 1 species